CAGCCGCCGCGGUAAUACCGAGGGUGCAAGCGUUAAUCGGAAUUACUGGGCGUAAAGCGCGCGUAGGUGGUUUGUUAAGUUGGAUGUGAAAUCCCCGGGCUCAACCUGGGAACUGCAUCCAAAACUGGCAAGCUAGAGUAUGGUAGAGGGUGGUGGAAUUUCCUGUGUAGCGGUGAAAUGCGUAGAUAUAGGAAGGAACACCAGUGGCGAAGGCGACCACCUGGACUGAUACUGACACUGAGGUGCGAAAGCGUGGGGAGCAAAAAGGAUUAGAUACCCCAGUAGUCCCUGUCUCUUAUAC
rnacentral:rRNA from 1 species